rnacentral:tRNA from 1 species
UCCGGAGUAGCUCAACGGCAGAGCAGCUCGCUGUUAACGAGAAGGUUCUGGGUUCGAAUCCCAGCUCCGGAGCCA